GACGAACGCUGGCGGCGUGCUUAACACAUGCAAGUCGAACGGAAAGGCCCUGCUUUUGUGGGGUGCUCGAGUGGCGAACGGGUGAGUAACACGUGAGUAACCUGCCCUUGACUUUGGGAUAACUUCAGGAAACUGGGGCUAAUACCGGAUAGGAGCUCCUGCUGCAUGGUGGGGGUUGGAAAGUUUCGGCGGUUGGGGAUGGACUCGCGGCUUAUCAGCUUGUUGGUGGGGUAGUGGCUUACCAAGGCUUUGACGGGUAGCCGGACUGAGAGGGUGACCGGCCACAUUGGGACUGAGGUACGGGCCAGACUCAUACGGGGGGAAGCAGUGGGAAAUAGUGCACAAUGGGCGGAAGCCGGAUGCAGCAACGCCGCAUGCGAGAUGACGGCCUUCGGGUUGUAAACCGCUUUCGCCUGUGACGAAGCGUGAGUGACGGUAAUGGAUAAAGAAGCACCGGCUAACUACGUG
rnacentral:rRNA from 1 species